rnacentral:lncRNA from 1 species
UAUGGCCUAAUUUAUGAUGCCACAAGUACUUCUGGUUAAUUUCGUCUUUGGAUCUCUUCUGACUUACGGUACUCACUAUUUGUUCGUUUAAAUUUAUAUUCAUAUCAAUGUGCCAGUGAUAUAGACUAUAAAUUAAAAGAUCUCGUGCAACUAAUUUAUUUUAUAAAUAAAUAAAAUAAAAAUUUUUAUUGAAACUAAUUUCAAAAUCUUCCUGUGCUAGCAC